rnacentral:ribozyme from 1 species
GCAAAAUGGGAUGAAAAGAAAAAAGAAAAAAGAAAAACAGAAUGCAAAUUGCAUUGGUCGUACCUUGUUUC